UAGUAGGGAAGAUCGGGGCGCUAGCCGUGCCCCAAAUCUGAAACCGGCUAUACGCAGAGAUCUGAUAACUGCUGGGUAAAUCUCUAGAUGGAUAGUACUCGCUUGACUUGCGGAAAUGAAAUCACGCCGAAGCGGGUGGAUGCAGGACUGGAGCUGUCCGAAGGGAUAGUCUCCAAGACCGAACUGCUGAAAGGGAUGAGGUCCGGGAGGGAGCAAUCCUAAGGUGGAGUAUCCACGCUGCGUCGUCUACGUGGCGGAUCUUGCUUGACAUGAAAUGAGACUGUCUGCCUAGACUGGAACUGGCAGAGCUACUACUA
rnacentral:SRP_RNA from 1 species